AAUUCGCCCUUAGAGUUUGAUCCUGGCUCAGGACGAACGCUGGCGGCGUGCCUAACACAUGCAAGUCGAACGGGGUAGAGAGCUUCGGUUUUCUACUUAGUGGCGAACGGGUGAGUAACGCGUGAGGAACCUGCCUUUCAGUGGGGGACAACAGUUGGAAACGACUGCUAAUACCGCAUAAUGUUGUCGGAUCGCAUGGUCUGACAACCAAAGCUUUAUGUGCUGAAAGAUGGCCUCGCGUCUGAUUAGCUAGUUGGUGGGGUAAUGGCCCACCAAGGCGACGAUCAGUAGCCGGACUGAGAGGUUGAACGGCCACAUUGGGACUGAGAUACGGCCCAGACUCCUACGGGAGGCAGCAGUGGGGAAUAUUGGGCAAUGGGGGAAACCCUGACCCAGCAACGCCGCGUGAAGGAAGAAGGCCUUCGGGUUGUAAACUUCUUUUACCAGGGACGAAGGACGUGACGGUACCUGGAGAAAAAGCCACGGCUAACUACGUGCCAGCAGCCGCGGUAAUACGUAGGUGGCAAGCGUUGUCCGGAUUUACUGGGUGUAAAGGGUGCGCAGGCGGGACUGCAAGUUGGAUGUGAAAUACCGGAGCUCAACUCCGGAACUGCAUCCAAAACUGUAGUUCUUGAGUGGAGUAGAGGUAAGCGGAAUUCCGAGUGUAGCGGUGAAAUGCGUAGAUAUUCGGAGGAACACCAGUGGCGAAGGCGGCUUACUGGGCUCUAACUGACGCUGAGGCACGAAAGUGUGGGUAGCAAACAGGAUUAGAUACCCUGGUAGUCCACACUGUAAACGAUGAAUACUAGGUGUGGGGGGACUGACCCCUUCCGUGCCGGAGUUAACACAAUAAGUAUUCCACCUGGGGAGUACGACCGCAAGGUUGAAACUCAAAGGAAUUGACGGGGGCCCGCACAAGCAGUGGAGUAUGUGGUUUAAUUCGAAGCAACGCGAAGAACCUUACCUGGUCUUGACAUCCGUUUGACCGGACCUUAAUCGGUCCUUCUCUUCGGAGCAAGCGAGACAGGUGGUGCAUGGUUGUCGUCAGCUCGUGUCGUGAGAUGUUGGGUUAAGUCCCGCAACGAGCGCAACCCCUAUCUUUAGUAGCCAGCAUUUAAGGUGGGCACUCUAGAGAGACUGCCAGGGAUAACCUGGAGGAAGGUGGGGAUGACGUCAAAUCAUCAUGCCCCUUAUGACCAGGGCUACACACGUGCUACAAUGGCGUAAACAAAGGGAAGCAAUCACGUGAGUGUGAGCAAAUCUCAAAAAUAACGUCUCAGUUCGGAUUGUAGUCUGCAACUCGACUACAUGAAGCUGGAAUCGCUAGUAAUCGCGAAUCAGAAUGUCGCGGUGAAUACGUUCCCGGGUCUUGUACACACCGCCCGUCA
rnacentral:rRNA from 1 species